CUAUUUGCAUUUCUCUAUUCUGUGGAUUUUAUUGCUCGGUAUAAAUCCGCAGGCUGAGGCACAUUAAGCUUCACUCAGGGAGAUACAGUGCAUUUUAUCAAAGGGCUGGACAGCUACAGGCACGAGAUGUCCCCUGCAGGGACGUUGUUUGCCCAGAUGUGCCGGGCAUACGCACAGGGAGAAAGAAAUGCAUAUGGGUAUGCAGAUUUUGGUGUGUGCACAUGAAGCGUGGAAGGAUUUUCUUUGGAUCCACAAUCAAAAUGGAUUUCCGAGAGGGAGCUGGUCUGGGCACACGCCUACUUCAUGUGCUAUACACGGCCCCAUCCCGCCAGUCAGGUCCUCAGGAAAGUGAUCGUGCCUGCUUCGGCUCUGGCUAGAGCUCUUUGGCCCAUGUGGUGGGCAGAAAACUGAAAUGAGGACAGAGAAACGUCUCAGAGACUCGCAGAGGAGUUGAGUCACUCACCAUCUUCCUGCAGGUCUUCUGAAUACUUCUGAGCAUAGGAGCGUCUUCUCCUAAAAGGCAAGCCAGUCGUUGCUGAGAUAAACCACGACACAAGCUUGAGCCAGGGUUAAUACCAACCAUCGAUGGUCCACUGAGCACUGUGUGCCAUGCAGUGUGCUAAGCACUCUCUCAUUUAAUCCGUACAACAAUCUGAUAUGAGGGAAGUUUUCCAGGUGUGGGAAGUGGAACUAUAUUGGGUAAAGACUAGGCCUAAGUCUUGGACUUUUAGAAGGGGAGGUCUGACACUCUAGAAAACUUGCAGGAGGUCCCUAGGGGGAGCGCUCAAAGGUGUUUCCUCGUCAGAAACUGGCUCCGCUUGAUGAGUCCAGGCCAUCGACUCACAGAUCCACGGGCAGCUCAGGCUUAGACUGAAAAGGACACGACCGGAUGGUGAGUGAAACUCGGCCUCAGAGUCCAGGAGCCUCAGUGGCUGCCCUGGUUCCCUCCGAUCCAGUGACCAGAGCGCCUGCUGGCGCAGGCGACAGCGGGGAUGUUUAUGUCACUGGUGUUUACGUACGUGACUGACUGAAGGCCACCUACAUGCCCAACCACUUGGCGGUGGUUAAAUGAUUUGGGGUCCGGUCAUUCAGUAUCAUGCAGAGUCAUUAAGAAUAAAUAAGAAACCCUAUGCUUUCCAUGUUCAAUGUUAGAUUAAAACAGCUGAAAAACACCCCUGCCUUAGGCAGUCUGAUUUCCUGGAUUACGAAGUGGCUCCUUGGCUGAUCUGAACCUCAGCCAGGGCUCGGGGCCCCUGUUCUGAAAUUCCAGUUCCUUAGAAUGAAGCACAGAGAAGUCAAAUCAAAAUACGCCAGAGAUGUUAACACUAGGUAUCACUUGGUUGUGAUACUUUGAGUAACUUGUGUUAUUUUUCAGGUUUUCCCCCAUUUCCAAUGUGCAAAUAUACUUUUUUUAAACUGUAAACAAAACAAACCUUUAUAUAGAGUAAACUCUUAGAUAGAAAGCCAUGAAGGAAAUCUCUGCACAGGGAGGUUGGAAGGAACUAAGACAAAAUAACACCUUUGGAUGGUGUGACCAUAAAUUAUUCUUUCUCCCUAUCUUUAUAGGUUUCUAAAUUUUCUGCAUUUGGUAUGUUUACUUUUAUAAUGGAUAUUUAAGAUGAAAAAAAAAUUUAAUGGGUGGAGAGGGAAAGAGAGAUAAGGCUAUUGAAAAAAGUCCAAAGCUGUUCAUUUCAGUCGGUUGCUGUUUCCUGAGUCCCUCAGAUGUGCACAUCGCUGGGGAGGGGGCGGUGACAUAGGGGUGAAGGAGACGCAAUUCCUUUAAUCAAAUAGGUAGCCGUCCAUUUAAGGAGACAAGACCCUUCAUGAGACAGGAGGCAAAGGAAUUCCCUAGAGUGUAGGCUGUCCGGAGUAUAACCAUAACAACACGAGAUGUGGCAGAGGGCUUGGGAGCGCCAGCUUCAAAGCCACCUCCUCUUCUGGGUGGAAACUCACCUCCAUUUCUUAACCAUGUCAGUUCUGAGCCUCAGUUUCCUCUUCUGUAAACGUAACCUACCCCGAGGGGUCAUUGUGGAGAUUAAAUGGAGGCUGCACAGGAAGGGCUGAGCGAGGUGCUUGGCACACAUUCCAACCUCAGCAUGAAUCACCGUGGUGGUCGUCACUUUGGCUCUUAUGUGCCAAGCCUGCUGUUUGAAAGUCAGGCUUUCACAGAGGUGACGAGUUGGGAUUUGAACCCACAUUUAUCUCACUUCAAAGCCAGUCCUCCUACCCCAACCAGCCACUGCAUUUCCCUUCUGAGCUUAAUCUAAAUUUCCUCUCAACCUCACCAUACGGUCUUGCCAGGAAGAAAACCUACAUUUUCGUGAGAACCAAAGGAGAAACGAAUCUGUUUGAAAAACAUCAGAGGAAGAUAGACUCAUCCCUCCGUGUCAGAUCUUGCAACAUUGUCCACCGCCUUCCAGUUCGUGUCUCUUGGUGCAGGGGUUCCUUUCGCAGCACUGCUGGGCGAUUCCCUCGAGUGUGACAGGCGGUGCUGGCUUGCUCCAGCUGGGCGGACAGAGGCUCAGGACGCAUGGUAGUGGGGUGGGGAAGAACACGGGGUCUGGGAGCGCCCCAAGGACCUCUGCAAUGAAAGCCAAGAGGUAUGUGCACACAGACUGCCCACAGGCCAAGGAUGGAAGUCUGGGGGAGCAAGAGGAAAGCCAUGGAGGUUCGGCAAGGAGAGUGAGGAAAUCAAAGCAAGGGGAAAAUUCUGUCCAUGGACCUCCACUCAUUCCAAAACUGGUUAACUCCUUGGGAGAGGCUUAAUGCUGACUGUUUCUCUCUUACCUUCUGGUCAACUGUCUUUUUAAGGGAUCUAUGUAAACCCAACUAUAUCUCAUCCCACCUCAUUCCUUUCUAUUCCGUUCGCCCACUCUGUGCCUGGCACUCUGCUCAGCACAGGAGGGCAGAUAAGACGCCUGGACGACUGUGUGUUGGGAUAAGGAAGAAACGAGGUGAACAUAUUAGGUGUCACAUGUGGUCCUAGAGGCAGGUGCAGCGUGGUGGCUAAAGAGGCAAGGUGGGCAGAAGAGGAGCAGGUACUGAGCUGGGUCUUCAAGGACAUUGUGAGCAGACUCCCAGUGGGUCUGCCAAGGAUGUACCCAUGGCAUUCCCAGUGGACUGCAGCACCCGGGUUGCAGGUGUGCGUGGGGAACACCUGGGCAAUGAGGCUGCGAUGCAGGUGGGCGGCCCCCAGAGGGCCUUGACUGACCCACUGAAGGACCCAUAGUGAGGGUCCUGGCAAGAGGAAGAGACAGGUCUGAUGUGUCUCUGGCAGUGGGUGCCCUGUGGGCCCAGGACCAGGAGCCAUGUUGGGCAAUAUGGAGAUAGGACCCUGCUCUCCUCUGCAUCACAUCUUCAGUUUGCGGGGAAGAAAUUCUAAAUUUAUCAUUUAUCUGGUGACUCUGGAAAAGCAGAUAUCUGGGUGCUAAGAAAACCCAUCAUUCAUUCAUUUGUUCAUCCAUUCAGAACUGUUCUUGUGCAUUUGUUUAUAUUCAUAUACUGACAUUUCUGGGGGGGGGUCACAUGGAGUGAUAAGACUUGGUUCUAAUGUCAAGAACCUUAGAACCAGAAGGAGUGAGAUUACUAAAUCCAUGGUGUCAACCUGCAAACUGAGCUGGUCACCUCACUUCCCCAUCAUCGUUUCAAACACUUCAAUAAAAACAAAAAACAACAACAAAAA